ACUCAAAUGAAUAGACGGGGAGGCGCACAAGCAGUGGAGCAUGUGGUUUAAUUCGAUACAAAGCGAAAAACCUCACCAGGGCUUGACAUGUAGCUGCAAAUCCUAAGAAACUAGGACUUCUUCGAGAGUGCUACACAGAUGCUGCAUGGCUGUCGUAAGUUCGUGGCGUGAGCUGUCCCCUUAAGUGGGCAAACGAACGAAACCCGCACCGUAUGUUAAAUAGUUCAUGCGGAACUGCCUCAUUUUUUGAGGAGGAAGGAGCGGAUGACGUCAAGUCAGCACGGCUCUUACGCCCUGGGCUACACACAUCCUACAAUGGCAUGGACAACGAGUUGCAAACCGGUAACGGUAAGCUAACCUCUUAAACCCUGCCUCAGUUCAGAUUGAGGGCUGCAAUUCGCCCUCAUGAAGUCGGAAUUGCUAGUAAUCGCGAAUCAGCAGGUCGCGGUGAAUACGUUCUCGCCUCUUGCACACACCGCCCGU
rnacentral:rRNA from 1 species